UGUCUCUCUUCUCUUAUCAUCUCAUCUCAGAGAAAAAAGGUUGAGUUGCUUUUUAGGGGAAACAAGGAGAGUGAAACCAAUGAUGGCGGUGAGCUCAAAACCACCGAUCAUACCUUCGACGAUGGUUAUGGGCUUCGAUUCUUCUCAGCGUUUCCGAUUUCGGGCGGUUGCUAAGGUUACGAUUAUGGACAAUGGUUUUCUGAUCUCCAGGCGGAAGGAGGAAGAUAGAGCAAGGUUUGGUGGACUCGAGUUUGAGUUGGAUAAACUCAGGUGUUAUUGGUUGUUUUAUAUUUUUUUUUAUUUCAUUCCUAGAAUUUUUUUUAUUGUUGUUGAUGUUUAUUUGUGGUUUGUGGAAUUGAUGGAAUUUUACUUUGAUUGAUUGAGAAACAAGAUCAGUUGAAGUUAGGCGAUUUUUUUUGUGAAAUUCGAACUUAGUAUUAGUCUCCCUUGAUUAUAGUUCUGUUUGGUGGACUCGAGUUAGAGUGUUUUUAUCUUUGAUUUGCAUGAUUUGGUGUUCUCAUUUUGUGAAUUUUAUGAUGUUUGUGUCAUAUGUUAUAUGCUUUAUGUAGAUAUGAGCUAAUUUGGGUAGGCAGGUUUUGAGAAAUGGGAGAUCUUGAGAUGAUUAUCCACCUUUUGGGGCAAAUUGAAGAGCAAGUGAGUGAUUUUCUUAUCCUGAAUUGACUAUUAAAUUGUUGGGUUCGUGGGGUUUUUCUUGGUGCUGAUUGCAUUGGGCAAUUGUUCUCAUUCAUCCUUUGUCUUCUUCUCGCUCAUACCUUGCCAAAGUAGGGGCUUUCUGAAUUAUGGUAUGCUUUUCCUCUCCCUCCCCUCCCCCAUCCUCCCUUCCUCCCUUUUUGGGUAGGGUGUUUCUGCUCAGGUACAUGUGUCAAAGUGUUUUAAUACAUCGUUUUUAGGUUGGUUUGUAUGUAUUUGGGAGGGAUGUCUGUGUACAGAUUUGUCUAUGUCCAAGUAUUAGCUUUUUAACUUUAAUGCAUCAUAUUAUUGGUCCAAAACAAGUGUUAGUUAUCUACAACUCCUUGUUAUUGUCUGAAUAUUUAGUCAUAUGCUAUUAAGAGUCACAACUUGCAUGUAGCUACUCUUGUCACCUCCUGUUUAAAAAGUGAAAAAAAAAACUGCAUUUAACCUCACACUCACUCUCAUCCUCACGGGCCUCACCCCCUCACAAUUACAGUCAAGUGCUGAACUGUCAUCUUUUUCCAUACUUUACCAUUGAUAUAAAUGCAUAAUCCUCUAUUUCUUGUAAUUUUGCAGGUUGUAAAUAGAUUUUUGUUUUAAAUUUGUUAUGGUGGAUUGAAUUGAUUUUUUGUUGUUGCCCUCUUCACGUCCAAACUACAGUCAAUGUUGAUAUUACCGGACUCCUAGGAAGCAAGGAUUUUCUCUUGGUUAUCUCUUAGUCCUUAAAUUUGCUUUGGGUUUUGUAUUUUAAUGCUUAUUUUUCUAUCAAAUGCGUGCAAAUUUUGGUUUUAGUUUAGGCAUAUUGUGGCUUAGCCGCCUUUGUUCUAAGCUGCAAGUCUUUUCAGAUUUAGCUGUGCAAUUGUUUAGUUAAUUGAAUUUUUUUCUAAGAUUUGUUUGGAUUCUUAAUAGACUUGGUUUAUGUUUAAGCAAUUUGUCUGUGUGACUGUUAUUAAUUGUGAAAGGUUCUAUUGUAAAUUAGAUUUCUUUAUUUCAUCUAAAGAAAUAGUUUAAAUUUGGUAAUAUGGAAUGGCUGAAAGGUUCACUUGCUUAUUCUUUGUAAACGUCUUCAGGCAAAAGCUAUGCAUGAUGCUUGCUGCUCUUACUGCAACCUAUGUCAAGUGUUUAAUGUUGUUAUAAGUAGUUUGGUUUACUGCUGAAAUGCAUAGGUUCUUGGAAUGCAGUUCAAGAACCGUUGCAGACCAAUCCAGAUCUAGAGGAGGGUUUUUGCUGAGCUCUGUUGUGCCGUUUAUGGUUUCGUAAGCAUUACUACCACCUUCUUAUGUGCUUGAAAGAACCCCAAGGCAAAGGCUUUGAGUUGGCAAGAAAACAUAUUUUAUCUAGCUUAUUACAGCUGGAACAAAUGCAAAAAUCAGCUGAGUUUCUGAGGUCUAUAGGAUGCUUGACAAUAUUGUUCUGCGGAAGCCAGAAGGAGGAAGACGGAGCAAGGUUUGAUGGAUCUUGUUUUAGAGACAUUAUGUUGGACCCUGUUGUUUUAUCUACUAGCUAGGGCAUAAAGUGAAGAAAAUCAGGAGGAAGGAAGAGAAAGAAAGAGAGAGGUUUGGAUCUUAGAGAAUCCCGGCCAUGGUGCGUAAUUUUUCAUUUCUAGCUGCACACGUUGGAGAAUUACAGGGGUUGGUGGUCAUGAUUGAAUUAAAGAAGAUAUUCUUGACCGAGUCGUCAAUAUUCAUGCCCAGCUGAGUUCAUUCGAAUCUAAUUCAAUGUGAUUAUUUUCUUUUUCUUGUAAAUAUGUUAUUAUUUAAUUGAUCUGUUUAGUUUAAUUCUGUUGCUCAGCCUGGUGAUGUUUUAUUACUCCAUAAUCAUUUUAAUCAAUUUGGCUAAUUUUUGGGAGUUUUGUGAUUAUCUUUUGAAACCUUUUUUAAAACCAGUUUUGUGAUUAUCUGGGUGUUCUUAAAUUAUGUGAAAGUUACGGUUUUUAUUACUUCAAAUGGUAAACUUUUUAAUCAACUUUGUUUUUUAUACAAAAAAAUCUUGGGUUUUUAACUAUGUAGAUGUUUAAUUACAAGUACAAGAAUCUUCUGUCAAGUGUUAACUUGACGAAGGAUUUUAUUUUUACAGCUAUACAAAUCCAAUUAUACAAAGCUUGCAAAAAAAAUAUAUGUGCAGCUCAAGGAUUUGGUUGGAAUCGGUUCAUGGGCUUUUUAAGCAAGAAGUCACCGUCGAGAAGAUGUCAAAAUGGAGAGAAGAAGACUAGAGGUCAUUAUUGAGAAGCUGAUAUUCGGGUAUGUUUUGUUUAAGAAUGUGGGCUUCCAAGCUUUUUUAACUCCAUUGAAGUUGAGAGAAUGCUUUAGGUGUCGACAAUAAUUGGUAUAUAAAGUAAUCAUCUUAGUAAACAAGGGUGAUGUGGCCCUUUAUUGUUUGAUUUUGUAAUUAUAAACAUUUGUGUCGUAAUAUGUUUAGUUGUUAACUACUACUUAGAGCAAUGUUCUAUAGGAAAAUGUACAUGGAAAUAACUCAAUAGUCAAUAAAUUUCCCUAAUUUCAAAGAGUUAUGUUUUUUUGAAUGUAAUCAAUUCACCAAAUUUCCCUGUUAUAUACAAAUAUCAAACUUUCGUAAGCAA